rnacentral:misc_RNA from 1 species
UCGGCGCCACUGUACCGACGUUCGGUAUACUAGUCCACAUUUUUGGCGGCAGCUGUCCAGUGUAAGAUCCGAUUCCCGAACCGAACGGUCAUCCGAACUUCUUAGCGAACGAGCGUGGUAAACGACCCGAAUAAAGCGGCAAAAUGGAUGCGCGAUUCAGGAGCAAUCUCGACAUGAUCGGACGCAACGAGCCAAUCACGAGAAAAGCGAAAUUCUGGCAAAGUUACGUUCGGGCUCUGAAAGGUACCGACGAUAUCAGAGCUCCGGAACAUACGCACAGACCACGCAGUAUUUUCCGCACCGAUUACCCCGAGUUGCAUACCACCUCGCCUACUUGGCCAUUUGGAAAAUCGAUUUUUGAAAAUCCUAUUCAUGCGGCUGACCGUAUCAACACCCCUGGAUAUAGGUAUAUGCCCGUUCAUCGUGAGAUCUACGGUUACUCGCCAAGGCAAAUCUACCCUCACCAAUACAAACCCGUAGAACGCUUCACCCCUGCGAAACCAUUUGACGCUGAGAAAGCUUGGACCGAUCAUCUAAAUCGUUUGGCUGACAUCGACAAACUUUACCCGAGUAGGUCUCCAUUGCUUGCUCGACACAUAAGUCCACCUCUUAGCACGAAGAAACUCUUUGAUAUCCAUGGUAACUUAUUAACCGAUGAUAUCUUCCCAAGUUAUUCAUCGUUCCUUCGCAGAAAACCUUUUAUGGAUUUGCUUGAACCAUCUCCAACAGCUCCGAUCAGUGCCUUCACGAGAGACCCUUGGUGGUAUCCAAGUUAUGCUCCGUAUAUUCCAAGCUAUGCUCAAUACAGCACUCCGUUUUAUCUGAGGGACAGCUACCUUAGCCCAAUUAAACGUAGCUUCUUAUGGAGCCGACAUCCUAUUAGACCGCUUGGAGCGUUAUACUACUAUUAUUCGCAGCCAGUUCCAGUAUAUCACUUUACCAGCCCGUGGUACAAUAAACAUUAAGAACAAAUAAGAACAAUGAAAAGAACUUAAACAAAAUGAACAAAACGAACAAAAAAAAAUCUCACGUCUACUGAUAACUCAACUCCAACUUAAAAACAUACAUAUAUGUCGCCCCGUAUGGAACGCGUUAAACGAAUCUCUCGACGAUCGAAGAAGGAAGUGACGUAUGCAAAGUGGAAGUGAAAAAAAAGUAUGAAAAAUUAAAGGAAAAAUAAACAAAAUUUAACAAAACAAAAAAAUUAUAAUAAAAAUAUAAUAACACCGACAACAAUAUCAAUGAGGAGAAAGGAAGUACACUUACGUCUCUGGUAUCCUAAAAAGAAAAAACCAAAAACAAAAAUAACACAAAA